rnacentral:rRNA from 1 species
GACGGGGGGGGGCAAGUGUUCUUCGGAAUAACUGGGCGUAAAGGGCACGUAGGCGGUGAAUCGGGUCGAAAGUGAAAGUCGCCAAAAAGUGGCGGAAUGCUCUCGAAACCAAUUCACUUGAGUGAGACAGAGGAGAGUGGAAUUUCGUGUGUAGGGGUGAAAUCCGUAAAUAUACGAAGGAACGCCAAAAGCGAAGGCAGCUCUCUGGGUCCCUACCGACGCUGGGGUGCGAAAGCAUGGGGAGCGAACAGG